rnacentral:rRNA from 1 species
CGGGUGAGUAACGCGUAAACAACCUGCCCUUCGGAUGGGGACAACAGCUGGAAACGGCUGCAAUACCGAAUACGUCUUUUCAUCGCAUGGUGAGAAGAAGAAAGGACGGCCUCUACACAAAGCGGUCGCCGAAGGAGGGGUUUGCGUCUGAUUAGCUAGUUGGAGGGGUAACGGCCCAACAAGGCGACGAUCAGUAGCCGGUCUGAGAGGAUGAACGGCCACAUUGGGACUGAGACACGGCCCAGACUCCUACGGGAGGCAGCAGUG